rnacentral:hammerhead_ribozyme from 1 species
AUUCGACUGAAGAUUCCAAAAUAGGACGAAACGCGUGUCCUCGAU